rnacentral:rRNA from 1 species
AGCAGCCGCGGUAAUUCCAGCUCCAAUAGCGUAUAUUAAAGUUGUUGCAGUUAAAAAGCUCGUAGUUGAAUUUCGGGAUCAAUACGUCGGUCGUGCUUCGGUACGUACUGGCGUAAUUGAUUUCUCCCUUCUGACGAACCAUGAUGUCAUUAACUUGGUGUCAUGGGAAAUCAGGACUGUUACUUUGAAAAAAUUAGAGUGUUUAAAGCAGGCUCACGCUUGAAUACAUUAGCAUGGAAUAAUGAAAUAGGACGUUCGAUCCUAUUUUGUUGGUUUUUAGGAUCAACGUAAUGAUUAAUAGGGAUAGUUGGGGGCAUUAGUAUUCAAUUGUCAGAGGUGAAAUUCUUGGAUUUAUUGAAGACUAACUACUGCGAAAGCAUUUGCCAAGGAUGUUUUCAUUAAUCAAGAACGAAAGUUAGGGGAUCGAAGACGAUCAGAUACCGUCGUAGUCUUAACCAUAAACUAUGCCGACAGGGAUCGGAUGA